CAGAGGCGGCACAGCCAGCGGACUGCCAUCAGGGGCGGGGUGGGCGUGGCGGCAGCGCGUGCUGGUGGCUGGCUCAGUCGGUGAGGCGAAUUGCUCGGUGCGGACGUGUCGCAGCAAGUCUCUGUGUUGCGCGCGUGAGCAGCAGCGGGGCGCCCGGAGCUCGCUCCCCCCCCCGUGGGGUCAUCUUCUCCGCUCCUAAUAGACCCCCCGGGACCGGAGAGUGAGGCGAGGCAGGAGCGAAGGGUGAGUUAGGCAUCAGCACCAUACGAAGUAAUCAUGGCAGAGGGUCAGCCAGCCGGGUAUACUGGCA